GAUGAACGCUGGCGGCGUGCCUAAUACAUGCAAGUCGAGCGAACGGACGAUAAGCUUUCUUCUCUGAUGUUAGCGGCGGACGGGUGAGUAACACGUGGAUCACCUACCUAUAAUACUUGGAUCACUUCGUGAAACCGGAUCUAAUACCGGAUCAUAUUUUGAACCGCAUGGUUCAAAAGUUAAUGACGGUCUUGCUGUCUCUUAUCGCUGGUUCCGCGCUGCAUUAGCUAGUUGGUAAGGUAACGGCUUACCAAGGCAACGAUGCAUAGCCGACCUGAGAGGGUGAUCGGCCACACUGGAACUGAGACACGGUCCAGACUCCUACGGGAGGCAGCAGUAGGGAAUAUUCCGCAAUGGGCGAAAGCCUGACGGAGCAAGGCCGCGUGAGUGAUGAAGGUCUUCGGAUCGUAAAACUCUGUUAUUAGGGAAGAACAGAUGUGGAAGUAAAUGUGCACAUAUUGACGGUACCGAAUCAGAAAGCAACGGCUAACUACGUG
rnacentral:rRNA from 1 species